AUUGAACGCUGGCGGCAUGCUUUACACAUGCAAGUCGAACGGUAACGCGGGGGCAACCCUGGCGACGAGUGGCGAACGGGUGAGUAAUACAUCGGAACGUGUCCUGGAGUGGGGGAUAGCUCGGCGAAAGCCGGAUUAAUACCGCAUACGCUCUGAGGAGGAAAGCGGGGGACCUUCGGGCCUCGCGCUGCGGGAGCGGCCGAUGUCGGAUUAGCUAGUUGGUGGGGUAAAGGCCCACCAAGGCGACGAUCCGUAGCUGGUCUGAGAGGAUGAUCAGCCACACUGGGACUGAGACCCGGCCCAGACUCCUACGGGAGGCAGCAGUGGGGAAUUUUGGACAAUGGGGGCAACCCUGAUCCAGCCAUGCCGCGUGGGUGAAGAAGGCCUUCGGGUUGUAAAGCUCUUUCGGACGGAACGAAACGGUUACGGUGAAUAAUCGUGACUAAUGACGGUACCGUAAGAAGAAGCACCGGCUAACUACGUGCCAGCCGCCGCAGUAA
rnacentral:rRNA from 1 species